rnacentral:rRNA from 1 species
UCUGAAGGUGACUGCGGAGGACAUUA